rnacentral:tRNA from 1 species
GAGAACCGGGUAGCCCUGA